AGUCGAGCGAGACCUUCGGGUCUAGCGGCGGACGGGUGAGUAACGCGUGGGAACGUGCCCUUUGCUACGGAAUAGUCCCGGGAAACUGGGUUUAAUACCGUAUGUGCCCUUCGGGGGAAAGAUUUAUCGGCAAAGGAUCGGCCCGCGUUGGAUUAGGUAGUUGGUGGGGUAAUGGCCUACCAAGCCGACGAUCCAUAGCUGGUUUGAGAGGAUGAUCAGCCACACUGGGACUGAGACACGGCCCAGACUCCUACGGGAGGCAGCAGUGGGGAAUCUUAGACAAUGGGGGCAACCCUGAUCUAGCCAUGCCGCGUGAGUGAUGAAGGCCUUAGGGUUGUAAAGCUCUUUCAGCUGGGAAGAUAAUGACGGUACCAGCAGAAGAAGCCCCGGCUAACUCCGUGCCAGCAGCCGCGGUAAUACGGAGGGGGCUAGCGUUGUUCGGAAUUACUGGGCGUAAAGCGCACGUAGGCGGACUGGAAAGUUGGGGGUGAAAUCCCGGGGCUCAACCUCGGAACUGCCUUCAAAACUAU
rnacentral:rRNA from 1 species